rnacentral:rRNA from 1 species
AGCAGCCGCGGUAAUUCCAGCUCCAAUAGCGUAUAUUAAAGUUGUUGCAGUUAAAAAGCUCGUAGUUGAAUUUCGGGACCAAUCUGCCGGUCGUGCCUCAGGUACGCACUGGUUUUAUUGGUUUCUCCCUUCUGACGAACCAUGAUGUCAUUAAUUUGGUGUCAUGGGGAAUCAGGACUGUUACUUUGAAAAAAUUAGAGUGUUUAUAGCAGGCUCACGCUUGAAUACAUUAGCAUGGAAUAAUGAAAUAGGACGUUUGACCCUAUUUUGUUGGUUUCUAGGAUCGACGUAAUGAUUAAUAGGGAUAGUUGGGGGCAUUAGUAUUCAAUUGUCAGAGGUGAAAUUCUUGGAUUUAUUGAAGACUAACUACUGCGAAAGCAUUUGCCAAGGAGUUUUCAUUAAUCAAGAACGAAAGUUAGGGGAUCGAAGACGAUCAGAUACCGGUCGUAGUCUUAACCAUAAACUAUGCCGACUAAGGAUCGGAUUGAU